rnacentral:rRNA from 1 species
GACGAACGCUGGCGGCAUGCCUAACACAUGCAAGUCGAACGGUAAGGCUUCCUUCGGGAAGUACACGAGUGGCGGACGGGAGCGUACCGCGUAUGCAACCUACCUUUAACAGGGGGAUAACGGAGAGAAAUUUCCACUAAUACCCCAUAACAUCGCUCAAGGCAUUUUGCUUGGAUGACAACUCCGGUGGUUAAAGAUGGGCAUGCGUUGUAUUAGGUAGUUGGUGAGGUAAUGGCUCACCAAGCCUACGAUACAGAGGGGGACUGAGAGGUUAGCCCCCCACACUGGUACUGAGACACGGACCAGACUCCUACGGGAGGCAGCAGUGAGGAAUAUUGGUCAAUGGGGGCAACCCUGAACCAGCCAUGCCGCGUGCAGGAAGACGGCUCUAUGAGUUGUAAACUGCUUCUAAACAGGGAUAAAGCACAGUAUGUAUACUGUGUUGAAGGUACUGUAAGAAUAAGGAUCGGCUAACUCCGUGCCAGCAGCCGCCGUAA